AUGUUUACUGCACCAAUCGAGAAUCAUAAAGACCAAGGCGCUUAGGUUAUCGAAUUUGCAAUUUUGGUAUCUGACAAUGACGUCCAUUGAGCGUACUGACUAACAGUUGCCCAUAUAAUAGGAGCGACGGCCCCGAUGGCUAACGAUUGUCUGUCUGUGCACACACAUACUAACUGGGAAUUUGUGCAGAACACUUAGGAUAAUAGAUGUUGGGUAGAAGAGCUAGUCAACCGGGAUAAUAUCACAAGAGGAAUGAUUCAGGAACACAAGAGCCAGAAACACUUUAAGCGGUCAAGAGCAUCUCAACUGAAGACCACCAAAAUAACAUCAAGCGUGGGGGACAGGAAGUGAUUCACAAUAUAUCAAGCCUCAUUGCUUCAGGUCGUUGCUCUUCAUCUUCCGGCUCUCCCUCUCCAGAGAAGUCUCUUAGAAAGGCUCAAAAUACACUUUAUGACAAUGCAUACCACAAACAACCUGAUGUACACCACCCCAAUGCAAGAGCAGAAAGACCUCAACAUUGCGACAACUAGUUUUCCUGCAACUGGUGCCUCUGAGAUCAGCUGUUUAAUUGAUGCUCAGCUAACAUUUAUAGCAGCUGCAACUGCUGGUGGCGUCAUCCUGAUCCUUCUAACCUCCACCAUAGUGUUGGCAUGUACUGUCUCUAGCCUGAAACGUCGUCAACGGGCCCCUCGUCCAUCCCAAAGCAAUGCGGAGCUGGUGAGUGGAACGGGCAACUGGGGUACAGAGAGAAGAGAGGGCAGCACUGCGGAUCCAUGCGAAACCAGCGUUCUACUGGAGGAUGUAAAGACAGAUGGCAAGGAGGAAGAGAUUCAUGAUGGUAUCACCACUUCUAAUGCAACUAGUGAUUCAGAAACUGUGUCCCCACAGCCAUGCAGAGCUCCACCUCAAGAGAUUCCUGCAUAGAUCCCAUAAAUCUGGAGAACAUGCCUCUCAUGGUGUAAAGUAUAAGAGCUUUUUUUGUAUGCUGGGCUCUGACGACGACUUUUUUUUAUGUCUACAACA